rnacentral:rRNA from 1 species
GAUGAACGCUGGCGGCGUGCCUAAUACAUGCAAGUCGAGCGAACAGACGAGGAGCUUGCUCCUCUGACGUUAGCGGCGGACGGGUGAGUAACACGUGGAUAACCUACCUAUAAGACUGGGAUAACUUCGGGAAACCGGAGCUAAUACCGGAUAAUAUAUUGAACCGCAUGGUUCAAUAGUGAAAGACGGUUUUGCUGUCACUUAUAGAUGGAUCCGCGCCGCAUUAGCUAGUUGGUAAGGUAACGGCUUACCAAGGCAACGAUGCGUAGCCGACCUGAGAGGGUGAUCGGCCACACUGGAACUGAGACACGGUACAGACUCCUACGGGAGGCAGCAGUAGGGAAUCUUCCGCAAUGGGCGAAAGCCUGACGGAGCAACGCCGCGUGAGUGAUGAAGGUCUUCGGAUCGUAAAACGCUGUUAUUAGGGAAGAACAAAUGUGUAAGUAACUAUGCACGUCUUGACGGUACCUAAUCAGAAAGCCACGGCUAACUACGU